UUAAAGACCGAGGCUCAACCUCGUGUAUGUUCUGCAAACUGUAUAACUAGAGUUCAGGAUGGGAAGCUGGAAUUCCACGUGUAGGGGUGAAAUCUGUAGAGAUGUGGAAGAAUACCGGCGGCGUAGGCGAGCUUCUGGCCUGAAACUGACGCUGAGGUACGAAAGCGUGGGGAGCGAACAGGCUUAGAUACCCUGGUAGUCCACGCCGUAAACGUUGCACACUAGGUGUUGGAGGUUAUAAUCCUCUGGUGCCGCAGCUAACGCGUUAAGUGUACCGCCUGGGGAGUAUGCUCGCAAGGGUGAAACUCAAAGGAAUUGACGGGGGCCCGCACAAGCGGUGGAGUAUGUGGUUUAAUUCGAUGAUACGCGAAAAACCUCACCAGGGUUUGACAUUCAGCGGACGGAUAUAGAGAUAUAUCUUCCCUUCGGGGCUGCUGGACAGGUGCUGCAUGGUUGUCGUCAGCUCGUGUUGUGAGAUGUUGGGUUAAGUCCCGCAACGAGCGCAACCCCUAUCGUUAGUUGCCAUCAGGUAAUGCUGGGGACUCUAGCGAAACUGCCGGUGACAAACCGGAGGAAGGUGGGGAUGACGUCAAAUCCUCAUGGCCCUUAUGUCCUGGGCUACACACGUACUACAAUGGGCUGUACAGAGGGUAGCGAUACCGCGAGGUGGAGCCAAUCCCAAAAAGCAGCCCUUAGUUCGGAUUGGAGUCUGCAACUCGACUCCAUGAAGCUGGAAUCGCUAGUAAUCGCAGAUCAGCAUGCUGCGGUGAUACGUUCCCGGGCCUUGUACACACCGCCCGUCACACCAUCCGAGUUGAGGACACCCAAAGUUAUUACCCUAACCUUCGGGAGGGGGGUACC
rnacentral:rRNA from 1 species